rnacentral:ncRNA from 1 species
AAAUUUUUUAUAGUUUAAUAAUUUUAUUAUAAAUUUAUUUUACAUAUAAAUUUUAGUGUUAAUUUUUAAUUAUUUUAAUAAUAAUUAAUUUAUUUUAAUAGUAAUUAAUAUUAAAAAUUUAAGAAAUUAAGAUUUAGUAAUAUUUAAAUUAAUAACAAAUUUUGUGCCAGCAGUUGCGGUUAUUAGUAAUUAAUAAAUAAAAAAUUAUAUUUAAUUAAAUAUUAAUUUAUUAAGUGAAAUUUUAAUUUAAUUAAAAUUAAAUUUAAAAUUAUAAUUUAAUAAAUUUUAUUUAUAAACUAGGAUUAGAUACCCUAUUAUUAAAAAUUUAAAUUAAAAUACUAAAAUAGUAUAUAAUUAUUUAUUGAAACUUAAAUAAUUUGGCGGUAUUUUAGUUCAUUUAGAGGAAUCUGUUUAAUCAUUGAUAAUCCACGAAUAAAUUUACUUAAUUUAUUAUUUUGUAUAUCGUUGUUAAAAAAAUAUUUAUAAAUAAAAAUAAUAUUUUAAUUUUAUAAAUUAAAAUUAAAUCAGAUCAAGAUACAGAUUAUAAUUAAGAAUAUAAUGGAUUACAAUAAAUUUAUUUAUAACUGAUAUUUAUUUGUAAGAAUUAAUUGAGGGUGGAUUUAAAUGUAAUUUUAUUUAAUUUAUUAAAAUGAUUAAAAAUUAAAAUAUGUACAUAUUGCCCGUCGCUUUCAUAAAUAAAUUGAAAUAAGUCGUAACAAAGUAGAGGUACUGGAAAGUGUUUCUAGAAAUAA